ACGGAUACGGCGCCGCAAAAUAAGCUGCUGCUGAUGCAGCCGCCACAGCCGGCAUCUCCAGCGUCUACAACUCACGUGCCCUAACCGACUCCUACCUAUCCGACCUGACCCUCCGGUACCUUUCCGAGUGGGACCCUUCGGCCUCCGCCACCGACGACAAUAGCCGAAGUAGCUCUAUGUAUCUGGCGACGUCGUCGCAUUUGAUGUCCUAGUAUUCAUGGCCAGCUCCCGAUGUCGAGCCCGGCGUGAAGGUUCCGCUUGUCGCUUCCAAGUGAAUCCCUUACUGAGAGACAUGGAGAGCCAGAUUGUCCAUAUAAAUACUUUAUAAAGACUCAAAGAUGCAAAUUUGGUAUGUGGUGCAAGUUCAAUCAUCCGAAGGACAAACUGGCUGUUGCUUCAGAAAAUGCUGAUUUUUUGCCUUACCUGAGAGGCCUUCUGAACCCCCAUGUGCAUUCCACUAGUAAACGGGGCAAUGUAAGUUUGGUGCAACCUGCAAAUUUCAUCACCUGAAAGAUAUCCUGAUACCAUCAGCCGAGCAAGAGAAUACAAUUGGAGAAACUAGGACAACAAUUCAGCCGGAGGGAACUGAAUUUGCUGUGAAGCCUCUUGUUUCAUUCAGCCCUGCACUAUCAUUUAACUCCAAGGGUCUUCCUGUAAGACCGGGUGAACCUGAUUGUCCAUUCGAUUUCUACCUAAUUGGAAGGUCAGCAUAUGUAUAGUUUUGUUGACUUAUACUGUGAUAAAAGUAAAAGGAGACUGAGAAUUCCUAAAUGACAAGAGAACAGAAAAAGGCACUAUGGGACGAUCUUGUUGCUGCCUCCACCACGCACUCAGCACCGUCAACAAUACCUCCUUUGGUGAGGAGAAGGCCACGCAGAGAAGUUUGUAAUCGGUAAUGUCCCAAGUUUGUAAUCAGUAAUCUCACGGCAUGAAUUCUUUAUAAAGUACUGCAACAUAAAAAAGGGUAUUUAUGUGAUCCACCAGUACUUGGCCGCUUUUCUUGUGCAUCAAGGCCUUCAUGCGAUCUGAUAAUCAACUUGAGUUGAAAUUUAUUGAGAAAAUUCUGAGUGUAGUAUGGACCCCAAAGCAGACCAAUGCCUUUCUAUAUUUGGAGAAAGACCAGGAGUCAUUAAGGGAUCUGACCACAUCAUGUCACCAGGAACCAAGUUGGGACCUCCUCAUGGAGCAUCAAGAAAGGUCCCAACUUGAUUCUUGUUGACGUGAUGUGGUUAGAUCCUCAAUGAAUCCUGAUCUUUCUUCAAAUAUAGAGAGGCAUUGGUCUGAUUUGGGGUCCUAACUGCAUUGAGAAUUUUCUCAAUAAAUUUAAACUCAAGUUGAUUAUCAAAUCGCAUGAAGGCCUUGAUGCACGUGAAGAGAGGACAUUACUGAUUACAAAAUUCUUUGUUAGUGGGAUGCGAUUUGCGAGGCUGUACCCUUACCCUUCAUUUGGAUGAAGGAAUUGAAAAUUACAUAUUAUUCUAAAAUGACAGAAUUUGGAUCUCUGUCAUUUAAAUUUCAAUGUUUGGAUUUAUGUAUGUCGGAUUUUGUAAAUAAUAGAAAUUUCAAUGUUUGGAUAGCUCAUUAAAAUUGUAAA